rnacentral:tRNA from 1 species
GCCCAGGUGGCGGAAUUGGUAUACGCGCAGUCUUGAGGAGGCUGUGCCGGCAACGGCGUGGAGGUUCAAGUCCUCUCCUGGGCA